rnacentral:rRNA from 1 species
GACGAACGCUGGCGGCGUGCUUAACACAUGCAAGUCGAACGGCAAGGCCCUGCUUUCGUGGGGUGCUCGACUGGCGAACGGGAGAGUAACAUGAGAGUAGACUGCUGUUGAAUUUGUGAGAACUCCACGAACGUGGGGCUAAUACGGGAUAGGAUAUCCCGAUGCAAGGUGGGGCGUGGAAAGUUUCGGGGGUAGGGGAUGGACUCGCGGCGGAUCAGCUUGUUGGUGGGGUAGGGGAUUACCAUGGCUUAGACGGGUAGGCGGCCUGAGAGGGUGACUGGCCACAUCAGGACUGAGCUGCGACCCAGACUACAACGGUAGGCGGCAGUGGGGUAAAUUGCACAAUGGACUGAAGCCUGAUGCAGCGACGCCGCGUGCGGUGUGACAGCCUUCGCGUUGUAAUCCGCUUUCGCCUGUGACGAAGCGUGAGUGACGGUAAUGUAUAAAGAAGCACCGGCUAACUACGUG